rnacentral:rRNA from 1 species
CCUACGGGUGGCAGCAGUGGGGAAUAUUGCACAAUGGGCGCAAGCCUGAUGCAGCCAUGCCGCGUGUGUGAAGAAGGCCUUCGGGUUGUAAAGCACUUUCAGCGGGGAGGAAGGCGGUGAGGUUAAUAACCUCAUCGAUUGACGUUACCCGCAGAAGAAGCACCGGCUAACUCCGUGCCAGCGGCCGCGGUAAUACGGAGGGUGCAAGCGUUAAUCGGAAUUACUGGGCGUAGAGCGCACGCAGGCGGUCUGUCAAGUCGGAUGUGAAAUCCCCGGGCUCAACCUGGGAACUGCAUUCGAAACUGGCAGGCUAGAGUCUUGUAGAGGGGGGUAGAAUUCCAGGUGUAGCGGUGAAAUGCGUAGAGAUCUGGAGGAAUACCGGUGGCGAAGGCGGCCCCCUGGACAAAGACUGACGCUCAGGUGCGAAAGCGUGGGGAGCAAACAGGAUUAGAUACCCGUGUAGUC